rfam:Allomyces macrogynus ATCC 38327 genomic scaffold supercont3.71, whole genome shotgun sequence.
GGGGAUUUAGCUCAAAUGGUAGAGCGCCCGCUUAGGCAUGCGGGAGGGCACCGGGAUCGAUACCCGGAUUUCUCC